AACAGGGAUUGCCCUAGUAACGGCGAGUGAAGCGGCAACAGCUCAAAUUUGAAAUCUGGCUCCUUUGGGGUCCGAGUUGUAAUUUGUAGAGGGUGCUUUGGCGUCGGCCAUGGUCUAAGUUCCUUGGAACAGGACGUCACAGAGGGUGAGAAUCCCGUACGUGGCCGUUGGCCUUCGCCAUGUAAAGCCCCUUCGACGAGUCGAGUUGUUUGGGAAUGCAGCUCUAAAUGGGAGGUAAAUUUCUUCUAAAGCUAAAUAUUGGCCAGAGACCGAUAGCGCACAAGUAGAGUGAUCGAAAGAUGAAAAGCACUUUGGAAAGAGAGUCAAAAAGCACGUGAAAUUGUUGAAAGGGAAGCGCUUGCAGCCAGACUUGCCCGUAGUUGCUCAUCCAGGUUUCGACCUGGUGCACUCUUCUGCGGGCAGGCCAGCAUCAGUCCAGGCGGUCGGAUAAAGGUCUUGGGAAUGUGGCUCUCUUCGGGGAGUGUUAUAGCCCAGGGCGUAAUGCGGCCAGCUUGGACUGAGGUCCGCGCAUCUGCUAGGAUGCUGGCGUAAUGGCUGUAAGCGGCCCGUCU
rnacentral:rRNA from 1 species